rnacentral:pre_miRNA from 1 species
UUAACUCAAAUUUGUAUAGAGUUGGAACGACUUCCCUCCGUUUGCCGCUAGGGGUGCUGUACCAACUCCGUACUGAUUUGAGUUA